UUCUCUUUUUUGAAAAAAAAUAAAAAAAUCUUUUUUCUCUUUACCAUCCCUAUAUAUGCCCUCUGCUUCUGUAUUGGUUAUCCUUACUUUACCUUUUUAUAAUUAAAAUUUAAUUUUAAAAUUUUUAUUUUAUUCUUAAUAAAAUAUAACUUACCCUCACACAAAUAUCUCAAAAUUAUUUUAAAUUAUAAAUUUUUAAAAGUUUAUUCUCUUAAAA
rnacentral:lncRNA from 1 species